UGCCAUUAUGGGUGUAAAUUUCAUUCCCGGGUUACUAUACAGUCUCAAAGGCAACGUAACCAAUCUGGCGAAUUUUAAUUUCAAAUGUAACAUGCUAUAUUUGACCCUGUAACUUCCCAAAACAUUAUAAAACCUGCACAUAGGGGGUACUGUUUUACAGGUGAGACUUUGCUGAAUACAAAUAUGUGUAUUUUAUUGCAGUAAAAGCAAA